ACUGGGUGAGAGCUCAUGCCUGGUGACUUCCUGCCCAGCACUCCUUCCACUGCUCAGGGCCAUGGGACUCUCUGGUCACCUCCAGCAGUUGGAUCACAGAACAAUGAUACGAAAAGACAGUUUUUGCUGGAGCGACUGCUAGAUGCGGUAAAACAGUGCCAGAUCCGCUUUGGAGGGAGAAAGGAGAUCGCCUCAGAUUCUGAUAGCAGGGUGACUUGCCUCUGUGCCCAGUUUGAAGCCGUCCUGCAGCAUGGCUUGAAGAGGAGUCGGGGAUUAGCACUCACGGCGGCAGCGAUCAAACAGGCAGCAGGCUUUGCCAGCAAAACCGAGACAGAGCCUGUGUUCUGGUACUAUGUGAAGGAGGUCCUGAGCAAGCAUGAGCUGCAGCGCUUCUACGCCCUGCGCCACAUCGCCUCGGAUGUGGGCCGCGGCCGUGCCUGGCUGCGCUGCGCCCUCAAUGAGCACUCACUGGAGCGCUACCUGCACAUGCUCCUGGCCGACCGCGGCAGGCUCAGCACUUUUUACGAAGACUGGUCUUUUGUGAUGGAUGAAGAGAGGUCUAGCAUGCUCCCUACCAUGGCAGCUGGUCUGAACUCCAUACUCUUUGCAAUUAACAUCGACAACAAGGAUUUAAACGGGCAGAGUAAGUUUGCUCCUACCGUCUCAGACCUCUUAAAGGAAUCAACGCAGAAUGUGACCUCCUUGCUGAAGGAAUCCACGCAAGGAGUGAGCAGCCUUCUCAGGGAGAUCACAGCAUCCUCUGCUGUCUCCAUCCUCAUCAAAUCAGACCAGGAGACUGACCCCCUGCCUGUCCUGUCCAGGAACGUCAGUGUCGAUGCCAAAUGUAAAAAAGAACGGAAGAAGAAAAAGAAGGUGACCAACAUUAUCUCAUUUGAUGACGAGGAAGAUGAGCAGAACUCUGCUGACGUGUUCCCAAAGAUCCCUGCGGCGGGGGAGAGCUCGGAGGACAACUCCGACCGCUCCUCAGCCAACAUCGUGACGGCCUUCGAAAGCUCCUUUGGGCCAAACUCCAACGGAAGCCAGAGCAGCAGCUCAUGGAAAAUUGACUCUCUGUCUUUGAAUGGGGAGUUUGGGUACCAGAAGCUUGAUGUGAAAAGCAUCGAUGACGAAGAUGUGGAUGAAAACGAGGACGAUGUGUACGGAAACAUGCCGGGAAGGAAGUGCACGGGCCACUCAGAGUCGCCUGAGAAGCCUCUGGAUGGGAACCCCUGCCUCUCUCCGGUGCACAGCUGGGCCCCGCUGCAGGUGCUGCAUGGUGACUCGGAUGUCCUCUUUCCUGUCAGUGGAGUGGGCUCCUACAGCCCAGCAGGUGUCCCUGCUGGAAGCCUGGAGAAUGGGACAGGCCCGGAGGAGCACGGCCUCACUAACCCUGGGAGCAGGUACAGUGUGGAAGCCAGUCCCCCAGGCCAAGGAAGUCCUCUGAGCAGCCUGUUGCCUUCUGCCUCGGUCCCAGAGUCAAUGACAAUUAACGAACUGCGACAAGCCAUCGUGGCCAUGAUGAAUAGGAAAGAUGAGCUGGAAGAAGAGAACAGAUCUCUGCGGAACCUGCUUGAUGGUGAGAUGGAACAUUCUGCUGUGCUCCGGCAAGAGAUGGACACGUUGAAAAGGAAAGUGGCCGAGCAGGAGGAGCGGCACGUAGAGAAGAUUCAGGCGUUGGCCAGAGAAAACGAGGUACUCAAAGUUCAGCUGAAGAAAUAUGUAGGAGCUGUCCAGAUGCUGAAAAGAGAAGGCCAAACUGCCGAAGUUGUACCACAUCUUUGGAAUGGUGAUGGAGAAGUUACAGUCACCGACCAGAAGCCGGGAGAAGUAGCGGAAGAACUAGCAAGCUCAUAUGAAAGAAAGCUCAUAGAGGUGGCAGAGAUGCAUGGCGAGCUGAUUGAGUUCAACGAGCGCCUGCACCGAGCCCUGGUGGCCAAGGAAACCCUGGUGUCACAGAUGAGGCAGGAGCUCAUUGACCUUCGAGGGCCGGUGCCUGGAGAUUUGAGUCAAACAUCUGAAGACCAGAGUUUGUCGGAUUUUGAAAUAUCCAACCGGGCGCUGAUCAACGUCUGGAUCCCCUCGGUGUUCCUCCGGGGCAAAGCAACAAAUGCGUUCCACGUGUACCAGGUUUACAUCCGGAUAAAGGAUGACGAAUGGAAUGUCUAUCGGCGCUAUACGGAGUUCAGAAGUUUGCACCACAAGCUACAGAACAAAUACCCUCAAGUGAGGGCCUACAACUUCCCACCCAAAAAGGCCAUUGGAAACAAGGAUGCCAAGUUUGUAGAGGAACGGAGGAAGCAGCUCCAGAAUUACCUGCGCAGCGUCAUGAACAAAGUCAUCCAGGUGGUCCCAGAGUUUGCGGCCAGCCCCAGAAAGGAGACCCUCAUUCAGCUGAUGCCCUUCUUUGUGUGAGAGACUGGAGUCUCAGGAAACUUGGAUGAUGUGUCUGAGUUCAUUCCGAGAUGAACUUGAAGGCAGGUUGAGACUCUGCUCUGCUGCUCUGAGAUGCUGGACACUGAGCGGCACGAUGUCCUUCUCCAGGGAUUGGUCCCUCCUGAUAACAUGUCCAAAGUGAGAUGAAGCCUCGUCAUCCUCUCUUCUAAGAAGCAUUCUGGCUGUACUUCCUCCAAGACAGAUUUGUUCAUUCUUCCGGCAGUCCGUGAUAUAUGCAAUAUUCAUUGCCAGCGCCAUGAUUCAGAUGUAUCAAUUCUUCUUUGGUCUUCCUUAUUCAUUGUCCAGCUUUUGCAUGCAUAUGAAAAAAAAAAGAGGCAAUUGAAAAUACCAUGACUGGGGUGAUGCACACCUUAGUCCUCAAAAUGACAUCUUUGCUUUUUAAUACUUUAGAGGUCUUGCAGCAGAUUUGCCGAACGCAAUACAUCAUUUCAUUUCUUGACUGCCGUUUCCAUGAGCAUGGAUUGUCUAUCCAAGUAAAAUGAAAUCAUUGGUAACUUAAUAAAGAUUACAGUCUGGAAAACCCUACAGGGCAGUUCUGCUCUGUCCUGUAUGGUCGCUGUGAAUCAGAAUUGACUCCAAGGUGCACAACAAGAACAACAUGCCCUGGUGGGCGGCCCCCCUGACUCGUUUGUGAUCCUUCAGCAUCUUACUUAUAGACUCUUGGCACCUUCCCAAAGUCCCGCAUCAACAGAGCCACCAAACACCCCACAUUUAUACCUGUCAACUGUGGGAACAUGGCAGACCUGCCUGUAGGGUUUAGGCAAGCCAUAUAAGUGGAUAGACCCAUUGAGGAGUGACAAUAGGGAGCAUGUAGAGUGGAGCUCACAGGCCCCAUCUACAGGGGUCAGCCACCACUCACCCCAGUUGGUUGUUGCUAUGAGACUGUGGGUUUCCAGGUCUUCAAUUUUUUCAAGAGAUGGCAGAAACUCACAUUUGUAUAUAAAAUCUUCUGAUUUUUAAAUGUUGACAACUGAUAGGAGCUGUGGUGACACAAUGGUUAAGCACUCACCUCCUAACCAAAAGGUCAGCAGUUUGAACCCACCAGCUGUUCUGUGGGAGAAAGAUGUGGCUUUCUGCUUCCAUAAAGGUUGUAACCUUGGAAACCUUAUGAGGCAGUUCUGCUCUGCCCUAUAGGGGCAGAAUUUGACUCAGUGGCAACGGGUUUGGGUUUUAAUGUUUGUGGGCAAAUAAAACAUGUCUGUGUGCUCCACGUGACCCAUAGUGCAGGGCAAGAAGGGACUGCUUUAGAUGAAUCUGUUUACACAAGAAGAAGUACAGGAGGAGGAAAACAGACAGCAACCUACUCAAUGGGGACAAUAACAGCAAGAUAUUAACCAGGGCAGAUAUGACAUCAGGCCUCAGGACAGACUGACUCCUGCAGUUCUGUCUGAGGUCCCCUUAAUAGUUUGGGCCCAGUGAGAGCUGAGUGUAUCAGAUCUAGCCUGAGAAGCUGGUCAGUUAUGGGAGCACCAAGCAGCAGGUGUCCAACUCAGCAUCCAAGUACAUGUCCAUCUUCCUCUGUGGGGAAGUUUCCGUGUUCCCAAAGAGGGCCCUGUUUUCUGACCAGCCAAUGGUCCACUCCUCUGGGCGAGGUGCCUGCCGGAACUCUCUACAUCUUCUUGAUGGCAGUUCUUUUGGUUUCUCGUCAUCUUCACAAUAGCCACUGACGAGCUUGGUCACCUGUAAAAAGAACACAGCCAGUCAUUACUUGGUUCUCUUAGCAGCUCACCAAGAAACAUGGCUGUUUGGAGGGCAGUUGUAUCUAUUCAAGGAAUCUGGUCACAGGUUAUUAGGGUUGAAAAGACUGAUAUUCUCCCCUGUUGAAUUCAGAAAAUGUACCUGAAGGACUUCCUUGCAGAGCAGUUAUUAUAGGACUUUUUUUAUGCUUUUGUACUGUUCUGACUUUUCCUCUCCCUCACUGGCCAGUGUCCUAUUAAGCCUCAGUGGGUUUCCUUGUACCUCUGACCCCAUGCUUCUCAUCCAGGUGCUAUUUUACUUUCCUCCCCUGCCCCGGGGACAUUCAGCUAUGAAUGGAGACAUUUUUGGUUGUGCCAACUAGCAGGAAGAGGAGAGUUGUUACUGGCAUCUGGUGGUUAGAGGCCAAGGAUGCUGCUAAACAUCCUACAAUGCACAGAACAGCCCCCACCACAAAGAAUUAUCCCACCCAGAUGUUAAUAGUGCUGAGGUUGGGAAACCCUGAUCUAGCCUGAGUAGCUGGCCAGUUAUCGGAUAAUCGGCUACAAAUCCCUCUGGCUCCAUGGCCAAGAAAGAGAUGGGGAGAAGAAACUGUAUCACCUACUGGGUGCCAAGUAUUAGACCAGGAGCUUUUCUUUGGUUAAGAGCUCAGCUGCUAACCAAAAAGCCGGCAGUUCGAAUCCACCAGCCACUCCUUGGAGACCCUAUGGGGCAGUUCUACUCUGUCCAGUAGGGUCAUUAUGAGUCGGAAUCGACUCAACGGCAGUGGAUUUUUUUAAUCUACUCACGGAGGCUGGUAUUAUUGUUCGUCAGAGAGUGAGGUGGUUUAUCCAUCAUCACAGAGCUGGGACAGUGUGGAGGGGGGAUGUUAAGCUGAGUUUAUAUGGUUUGGAAGCCUUACUCUCUUAACAUUAUAUUGGAAUGAAGCAUGUGAUAGAGCACUCCUACAUAGCUUUGGCAAAUUCCAUGUCCUAGAUAUUUCAUCAUGGGUGCCCUGUGCCCUAGGAAAUGUUGCUUGGGCUUCUUCAUACCCAUCUUUGGCCACUCUGCCUCUCCUCAUGAUUCUCUGGGUAUUGUUGGCUAUGGCCAUUGGCUUUCAACCCCGUGCCUGCUAUAGCCUCUCCUUUUCUAGAUGUUAUGGUGGCACUGGUUAGUGCUGUCUAAGGUUCUACCCACCUCCACCUCUUUGGGGUUAACUUCUGAAGUAAAUGUUGCAGAAGGGGCUGGAAAAUGAGGCAGGGGAGGGUUGAGGAACUUCUGAAGGCUUUGACCCAGUUGAGAAAAGUAGUAGCCUUAGACACCUGAUCAACACCUACUACCAACCAGCCCAUCCCAUUCCUAGUUGGUUCACACACCAGUCACAGGCCCUUCUUUUUCCCCAUUAACCUCAUACGCCCAGUGUGUGCUAAGGGAACUAGAGAGCAGGAUGAACAAAGACCCAGUUUUCUCUUGGGAACACACUGAUUUGGGCACACAGUCUGCCGGCUUGGGAAGCAUUACUCAGAAGAUAAAGCAGGUCAUGGAUUGCUGAGUAGGACCAGGAUUCCGUGUUUUUAUUUCUCUUUUUCACACACGAGAACUUGCUGUGACAGCGUUGUGGAUGUUUUCCCCAUUAGCUUGCCCUGGGAAGGCAGGUUGAGAAAUUACUAAAGCAACAGGAAACCAGCCAUUCAGUUAGGCAGUGGGGCCAGGCCUGGUUUAUGACUUUCACAUGAAAGGUAUAACUGGCUUGACCCCAGGCUCUGCCAUUGACUAGCUCAAUGAUCUUGGAUUAGGCCCUUUAGGACUUUGUGCCUCAGUUUCCUCAUCUGUAAAAUGGGACUAAUAAUAGGCCCUACCUCAUAAGAUUGAUUCCAAGAUUGAAUGAGGUAAUGCAAAGCAUUUAACACAGGGCACAUAGUAAGCACUUAGUGGUUAACUGGAGUGGAGGGGGGUGGUCCCUGGCAGUGCAAGCAGUUAACACACUCAUCUCGUAACCAAAAGGUUGGAGGUUAAAGUCUACCCAAAGGGACCUUGGAAAAAAGGCUCGACAGUCUACAUCCGGAAAAUCAGCCACUGAAAACCCUAUGGAGCAUGGUUCUACUCUGACACACUCGUGGUCCCCAUGAGUCAGAAUCAAUUCUACAGCAGUGGGUAGCAAUGGUAGUUCAGCUGUGGCUGCAGUAAUAAUAAUGGUUGCUUUCAUUGUUUGCAGGUAUAUACACAGCUGAUUCUGGCAUUCCUUAGAACCAGGGCAAAUCUUGGAGUUCUGACGUUUUCCAGGCAUGAGAGAUACAGGCGCGUACAGCAAGCACGUGCACUGGGGACAUUUAGGAGACAGAGUAGAGAUGUCUACUUGUGUUUGUGAGCCUUGGUCACACCUUUCUGUCCCAGACAUCGGCCAGGUUGAUCAGGGAGGCUGGGGCUCUGUCACCUUGUCAAGACAAAGGUGUCAUCUCCAUGGAGGGGCCCUAAAUCACUGGUCCAGAGGCCAGGCUGCAGAGAAUCAGGUCCCUCAAAAUGGCCCUGCAGACCCUCUUUUCACCUCAGUUGACAGCUCAGUGUGAUGAGUAGUCAGAUUUCAUUAUUAUAAAUAGAUAAGCCAAAACUGUUAUUAGUUUCUUGUAGGAUUUAACCAGCAACCUGGUACAAGUUGAAAGAGCAAGGCUUUGAGUCAAACAGACCUGGGUUCAGAUAGCAGCUCUACAGCCUAAAAGCUUUGCGACCUUGCCCUCUUUGGGCCUCAGUGGCCCCGUCUGUAAAAUGGAGCCAGUAGCACAGACCUCAUAGGCUUGUCAAAAGGCUAAGCACCUAGUAGGAGCUUCUCAGAGGGAAGCUAUUUUCGUUCCCAUUGCAUUUCUCUUCUUUGUUCAGACUCUCACUUCAGUCCCAAAAUGAUUUGAAUUGGCAGCUUAGAUAUUAUUACAAUCGCUUGCCCUACUUCAGGUCUUUUAUUUUUAAACAUUGGAGCAUCUCAGAAUUCAGUUUGGAGGAAAGGAAGCAGAUUAGGUUAUUUCUGGCAUAAUAACCUGCAUCCCAUUUGGGGUUAGUAAGGAAAUAAUAAUAAUAAAAUUUCUCUGAUCCCAGGGAGGUGAGGCCACAACAUGUAAAGAGACUGCCCUUUGCAGAAUGAACUCUCAGGUCCUACCAAAUUAUGCCCCAUCUCGGUGCUACCUUUCUUCUCAGGAGGUCAAGUAGUUACACAGCUUCUGGCAUUUCCCCAUGCACUGUUUAAAUGGUGUCUAUAGAAUGAUAGGAGCCCUGAUGGCACAGUCGUUGAGUGCUUGGCUGCUAACUGAAAGUUCAGUGGUUAGAACAUGCCUCUCUGCAGGAGCAAGGUAUGGCAGUCUGCUUCCAUAAAGAUUACAGCCUUGGAAACCCUAUGGGGCAGUUUUACUCUGUCCUAUAGGGAUGCUAUGAGUCAGAAUCAACUCGACUGCAGCGGGCUUAGUUUUGGUUUUAUAGGAUGAUAACUGAUAAUGGUUAUUAUAUUGAGUGAUGUGUUGGCUAUCUAUUGCCAUGUUGUUGUUGUUAGGUGCCUUCGAGAUGAUUCCAACUCAUAGUCACCCCAUGUGACAGAGUAGAACUGUCCCAUAGGGUUUCUAAGCUAUAAUCUUUGUGGAAGCAGAUCACCAGGUCCUUCUCCCGUGGAGCCGCUGGGUGAGUUCAAACUUUCAACUUUUAGUUUAGCAGCUGAGCACUUAACCGUUGCACUACCAGGGCUCCUUAUUGCUACGUUAAUGCUGUGUAAGAGACAGACACAAUACCUUGGUGUUGUAUAGCGAUAAUAUUGUGCAGCUUACACAUCAAGUGAUGGGCUAGGAGACUCUGCUGAUCUUGGCUACAUUCACAUAUCUGGGGUUCAGCUGGCUGUCGCCUGAUCUAGGAUGGCCUUGGCUGGGCUGAAUGGAGCUGUGCUCCACACAUCUUUCAUCCUUCUCCAGGACCAGUGGGCUGGCCUGGGUAUGUGGCAGUGAGCAAGAACAGGGAUGGCUGCAGCACAAAGGCAUUGUCCAGGCUGAUUAUGUCACAUUGGUUAACAUCCCAUUGGCCAGAGCAAGUCACAGGCUGAGGCCACAGUCAGAGUGGGAGGGCCCUGCAGAGUUACAUGGCAGAGCACAAGAUCCAUUUCCUUGUUUGUAAAAUCAUCUAGUAAAGCAUCUGGACGCAAUAGGUACUCAAAAAAUGCUAAUGAUCAAGCCUCUCAAAGUCCCAGAAGCACGGUACAUAUGGUUAGGACUCUCUGGUUUGCAAAAUUAUAAAAGCCCAAUUCCAACUUGCUUAAGCUGAAAAGGAGUAUUUAUUAGCUCAUGUGACUAUAAAGUCUAAGAUAGGGCUAGCUACAGGAAUGGCUGGUUCCAGACGUUCAAAUAAUGUCAACAGGGUGAUUGAUGCUGGCUUCGUUCUCAAGCAUGCUCUCUCUGUCUGGUGGAAAGAUGGCCCCUGGCAGCUAUAGGCCUUUAAGGGCCUUAUAGAUCCAGGUCCCAAAGAAUGGGCACCCUUCCCACUAGCUCUAGCAAAAGUUCUAGGGGAGAUUCUGAUCUGCCACAUAUUUCCUGGUAACUCCAGCAAAAAUUCUAGGUAACAUUCUUAUCGGCCCAGCUAUGGGCCAUCAGCUCAUCUCUAAGCCAAUGACUGUGGCCCAGGGGACAGAGUACUGGGCCAAGGGAGAGGAACAGUCAACCCAUCUAAACACAUGAUUAUUGUAGAAGGAGGGGUGACGGUUCCCUGAUAGAAGAGAUGGUGGGUGGACAGACAGUGGUCGAUUCUGCAGGGUCUGUUGUUCAGCUGUCAGCAAAGCCAACUGUCGUGGCAAGUUUUUGUGCAAGAAGCUUGUGACACCUUUGGCCCUGCCUUCCAUGCUCACUGAGUCAGAGAUCAUGCUUCUGUGGAGGAACUUUUACUCUCCCCAGCUCGUCAUUUCGAAUGCACUGGGAAGUGCCUUAACAGUCCCUAGCAGGCGUCAUCUGUCUCAGACAUGUUUCCAGCCUAUAUCUGGCAAGGCAGCCUUAUUUGUAAAAUAUUAACCACGAUGAAUUACUGAGGUUUGGGGUUACAGUGGGUUUAAUUGGGGUGGUAGAGUAGAUUUUCCAGGAUCUCUCUACUGAUGUAUCUUUCUCCCAGCCAGUGGGUUAGACACUGGAGGGACAGUCUUCAUAUUUGGAAGACGGAAGUAUUUGAUGGAAAGUCAUCUCACCAUGCCCGUCAUCCUGCAGCGUCAGAGUGUCAUCCUGACACGGAAGAAGAGCAGAUCCAGAGACAGGGGAAGGAGUAGCUGAGGCCACACCAUGAGUCAAGAGCCGAGGCCUGGACUCUGGACUACCUCUGACUUGCCACAUUCCAGAGCCGCAGGAAUCACUAUUGCUCAUAUCAGCAGAAGGCAAAGAUCUUUCAGCAGGUUCGGUUCCCGAAGGCCGUCGUGCAAAAUAAGACCAUGGUCCUAAAAAAAAAAAAAAAAAAAAUGGUCCUAGAACUUGAAAAUAGGGCUUGGUCGUUCCCAAGAGCACGUGGCAGGAGGGAAGGGAAAACGUACCUCAGCCAGAGGCUGGGAAACAGACACCCCGCUUCCUGACCACGCCCAGAUGGCAGGCCCUGGUCACACACAGCACGACCUUAGCGCUCUAUGAAAACUGCUUUGGGGUCAUCAGGGGGCGGGCUGUCUCCUGACCUCAGGUAGGAUUUAGGAAGGAGGACCAUGUAGUCACAAGUUAGCAAACCUCAAAAGACUGUCAAAGGUGAGGACGGCUGAUAAUGUGGGCUUGUCUGGUGAAUCAUUAAGGAUCUGCCCUUCUGUGGAGACUUUACGCUUUCUACCUCUGCUUGUUCUGGAAAGGCCGGUCUCCUUGUUGAGGCCCUCAGUGGAAUUAUAUGUCUUAAGAACAUUCUCCUGGAAUAUUCCAUUGAGGGAUUUGUUUGUCAGCAUUUAUUAAACAGUUGCCAGUGGUUAAAUGCUCGGUACUAACCAAAAGGACGGCAGUUCAAACCCACUAAGCACUGUGUGGGAGAAAGAUGUGGCAGUCUGCUUAGGUAAAGAUUUACUGCCUUGGAAGCCCUAAUGGGCAGUUCUACUCUGUCCUACAGGGUCACUGUGAGUUAGAUCAACUCGAUGGCAGUGGAGUUGGUUUUGGUUUAGUAAUGACUCGGUGCCAGGCCCUGGGACUAGCAGUCUUGUGCCUGACCCCUUUGAGAGAGGAACCACUUCAUGAUCUUGUUUAAUAGCUUUGUGAACAUGGGUGAGCCACACUCGGCCUCAGUUAACUCCUCUAUGAAAUGGGCACAAUCGCUGAGGGUUGAGUGAGAUGAGUGCAGGUAAAGCCCUUGCCACACAGGCGGGCACAGGGUCAUGUUCUGGAUGGGUGGACUUGAAGUCAAGGUGCAAGGGAAAAAGGAAGACUUACAGGCCCCACUUCAAGGAUCGUUUAUUUAGAAAGUAUUUGUUGAGCCCCUUCCAGAUGUCUGGCACACUGCUGGGCUCUGGGGAGCUUCCAGGUCAGCUUCAAGUCUCAUUGGAGGGGCAGGAGGCCCACUCCUACAGGUGGCGCAGGAGUGGACAUAAGGCAGAAGGCUAUGUCUUUCUGCCUGGCACCUCACACAGUGGUGAGAAGAUGUCACCUCAGUCGGGGGUGGCGUUAGGGGGCAACCCCUUGGCACUGCCACUGUUCGAGGAGCGAGCCAUGAGCCCUUACAUGUGGAAGGGUUUCAGUUACACUUGUUUAAGUGACACCAGUGACCCCUUAUCGCAGGAGCCUCUGUGGUCAGGCUGCCUGGGGGCAGAGGUGACAGGAGAGACUGCAGAGACACCAGCACCUCCUAGGCACCAGUGACUUCUGAGAGAAGGAAAAUCAGGAAGGGACGGAGACUCAGAGUCGCCAUUUGGGAGCAGCCCAUAUAUUUUGGGAUAUAUAUUAUUCUGACAAGUAAGGGCAGGACGUGUGCUUUGGUGGGGACCAUAGUUGAGCUCUGGUGGCACAGUGUUAAGGCUUUGGCUGCUAACCAAAAGAUCAGCAGUUCAAAUCCACCAGCCACCUCUUGGAAAUCUUACGAGGCAGUUUUACUCUGAAUCAGAAUUGACUUGAUGGCAAUGGGUUUUUUUUUUUUAUAGUUUGAAAAAAAAUUAAAAAAACAAAACACCUAAAUUCAUAGCAGCUGGAGAGAGUGGACAGUCCUGGGUUCAAAUCCCUGAUCUGUCACUCAGCUGCCUGUCCUUGGACAGUUUAUUCCCCUUGUAUUUCAUCUGCAGAAUGCGAGACGAUGGCCCGUACCUUACGGUGUGGCGGGCAGUGGGGAUUCAGACGUUGAAUACAGAGUAACCAGGCACAUAGUAGGUGCUCGACUUCGAAGAGUAAAAAUUAAUUUCUCUUUUCCAUCCAAGAAGGAUGAGUGGAAUAUAAAUACUAGAUUGAUCAAUCGGUAGUUAUCAACAAUUACAAAGAACGAGCGUAGCAACGAUUGUGAAGAUGGCGCAGGACCGGACAGUGGUUUGUUCUGUUGUACACAGGGUCCCUAGGAGUCGGAACUGACCCAAGGGCACCUAACAAUAACAAUAACGAAGAACAGGGGAGAAAACCUUUAUUUCUUAAUACAUAUAGGACCACUGCAAUUAAAGCUGUUGUUUUGACUGGGAAACCAAGAAAACAUGAUGAGAAAAUUAGAGGCAUUUAAGCAGCUACCUUCCAUGCAAGUACAUUUAUUAAAGGAAAUUUUAAAUAUAAAUGAUUAAGAAUGCCUUCAAAAUACACAAAAAUAAAGGGAUUAAAAUUAGUCUAAACACUAGACGGUAGGAUCAGGCUAGCUCGUUCCUCCCAGGGUCUCUCAGAGUUCCUGGGACACGGCACACUUCCCAGGGCAAGUCCAGGGGUGUGGCCAAAGUCACAGGUAUUUCAGUGGGGAUGCUGUGGAGGCAACCUUCUCAGUCCAUCCAUCGUCCACCCACCCGCUGACUCGCCCCUCUCUUCUACCUCCUCUCCGGUAUGCACCCACCCAUCCAGAAAGCAUAUAUUCUGCACCUAGAGUCCCUGGGUGGUACAGAUGGUUAAGCGCUCAACUACUAACCAAAAGGUUAGAGGUUUGAACCCACCCAGAAGUGCCUCAGAAGAAAGACCUGGCAAUCUGCCUCUGAAAGGUGACAGCCUUGAAAACCCUAUGGAGCAUAGUACUACUCUGUAUUCAUGGGGCCAUCGUGAGCUGGAAUCAACUCGAUGGCAGCUGGUUUGUUUUUGUUACAUUCUAGGCAUCAUUUUAGAUCACGAGAAUUGAACAGUGAAUAAAAGAAAGUCCCUGCCCUUGGGGACAUGCUAGUGGGGAAGACAGAAGUGAAAUGGACAAGUAAACACACAGUAUGUCAGAGGGUGUUUACUGGGAGAAAAAUAAAGCAGAGGAAGAUACCAAAGAGUGUGGAGAGGUCGGGCCUGGUGGGGUGUGUUAUAUAUCGUGAGGGAAGUCCACCAGGGGAGUUUGACAUCUGUGUGAAGACCUGGAGGAUCAAGCCAGGUAUCUGACCAGAGACAGCAAGUGCAAAGGCCCUGAGGCCAGUGUAUGCUCAAGCCACUUGAAAAACAGCAAGGAGGCCAAUGUAGUGGAGCUGAGUGGGCAAAGGGGAUGAGCAGAAGGAGGUGAGGUCAGGGAGGUGGUGAAGGCAGGCAGGUCACAUCUGGCUCUUACUUGGAGCAAAGUGUGGGAGCAGGGGCGGACAUGACUUACGUUCUAGAAGAAUGGCUCUGGUUGCUCUAUUGUGAGUCGAUGAUGUAGGGACCAGUACGGCAGCAGUGAGGAGACGGGGCUGUCCCCCAGGCGAAAGAUGGCAACUUGAUUGGGUGGGGAUGGUGGAGGGGUGAGCCGGUUCCUGAUGGCUCUGAGAGUUGAGCUGACGGAGUUUGCCGAUGGGUGGGAUGUGGAUGUGAGAGAAAGGUAGGAGUUGGGAUGAUGCCAAGAUUGUUGGUGUGAGGAACCGGAGGAACAGGGUUGACACUUACAAAAUGGAGACCACCAAGGCGGGUGGGGGACUGAGAGGUGGCAUAGACAUGUGAGGGCUGUGAAGUGGCCCAGUCUCAGCGGGUGUUGUCACCAACACUGUCUCUCCUUGGGCCCCUCUCUGCCUCAGUGGCACCCUUCUCAGCUUCCAAGGUAUUAACGUACCUUCCUAAGAGUAACCGUUAGUCACUGGGGCAGAGCAAGCAUGGCCUAGGUGGUUACAAGGGCACCGUGCCCACAGAGGCAGCCGGAUGCCAGGGAGGGAGCAGGAAGAACCCUGACUGGGCAGCGGAAGGGCUGGACAACGUGUUCCCUCUCCAAGCCUCAGUUUCCUCACCUCUAAAAUGGAAUAUUGUCCUAGGGAUCUCUCAGACCCUUUCCAGAACUAUCACUUGAGCAGGUGUGGGGUUUUGCAAAGAAUGAAGCGUCUUCCUCUUGUGAGAGGGAACAUGCUCACUUGCUAGAUGAGUUUGCACCAGUCUGGCAGGCUCCUCGAGGUGGCUUUGAUCCCAAAGUGGCUUCAUCUCAACCAUGUCGAGUGCUCAUUCAUUUGGGUCAACUGUGGGUCAACUGUUGCAAACACCAAACACAUGUCAUUCCAGGCUCUCCCCUGGCACACAGGCCCCCCCUGGCACAGAGGGCCUGGCAGACACCCCAGUGAAACACAGCCUCUCCAAGGCUGAGCCCAGAGGUGAUGCCAGCCAGCUCUUCAAGACCAGGCUCUCUUUGGGCAGCCACUCCAAGUUGAACAGGGUUGGCUCUGAAGAGAAAAGCAAUUGAGGAUUCUUGGAAAAUAACAAUAGUCGUGAUAAGAGUGAUGGUAGCUGUCAUUUAUUAAGAGACCGUGUGAAACACUGCCCAUGCCCUUUCUAUUCUGGCUCUCUGUCUGGUGACAGAGCUGUCAUCAUUGUUGCCAUCUUACACAGGAGGAAGCUGAAGCUCCAAACCAGGCCACCUGACUCUGGAGUACAGGCCCUCCCACUCUGCUGCAGCCCCUCUCACUGGGGCACCCCUCCGAAGUACACAGGGGCUAAAAGUAGCACCACGGCUGCAGCUCACUAUGCCUGUUCUAUAUAUAGGGCCAGGGCAGCAGAUAAAUCCUCGCAUAGAGAAACACACUAUUUUCAUGCCUGACCUAGAAAGCCCAUGGUUCUCAGGACCCAAAUGCAGAGUGCGUGGGCACUGGCCCUAGGUUGGCGUCCUUACAGACUCGCAGGACAGUGGCUACAGCAGCAGUCAGCAGCCACUGCGUGCUUACUAGGGGCCGGUUUCCGGGCCAGGGGCUUCCCUCACUCAUUUCUUCUUUAUGCGAUGCCCAGGAAGGUUGUUACUAUUUUUAUCCCCAUUUAAGAAACGAGGGCCCAGAUGGCUGAAGUACCACACCCAGAGCCCCACAAUCACUAACACGAUGCUCAUGUAGCAAGUGAUGGUUCCCCAGGCCCCUCAGCCUCUAAAUGGGGGAGCAGGGGUGUGGACCCAGGCCGUUUGCCUUCUUACCUCUGACUGUCAGUUAAAGAAGAUGAUAUAAGAGCUGAGCAUAUUGCAGGCACACAGUAGAUGCUCAGUGUGCAUGAGUGCUUGUCAGUGAGUGCCCUAAAUAAGUGCCUAAAUACUCCUAUAGGUGGGCUGGGUGGUAUGUUGGUGACAUAGGUUUGUCUCAAGGUGAUGUUCCCAUGACAUGUCUGCACCUCUGAGUCCUUCCAGAACUUCCCCGCAGCCUUGGCUGGGCCAUCCAGGGCCUGAUAGCCCAUUGGCCCAGUAAGUGGGAAGCCCAGGUGCAGGGGCAUCCACCUGGACAGGCAUGUCCCUUUAUCGAUAACAAGCCUGGCUCACGUGCUCCAGUAGGCCCUUCCCCCAGUGUCCUCUUCCCCACACCUCUCAGGCCCAGCACCCAGUAUUUCAUGGGGGUGCUGAGGGCAGCUUCCCCAAGCCAGGUCAACAGAGCACUGACAGGCAGGAUAGACAGCCCCAUGGCCAGCCACAGUGGGUCAUCCCUGCAGUGCUUCUGUCAUGUGGUCCUAGGGCCAGCAUGCUUUCCCUUGCUGACGAGGCCACUGUGGACUGUGUGCUGUGCCUGCGCUGAUGCUGGUGUGUGUGAAGUGACUACAUUUGGGUCUCCUUUGCUUUUGAGAGGGCUGAGCUGCUGACCCUGUGGAGGAAAGGGCAGGUGGGGACCCGGGCAGAGUGGGCCUGGGUUCCAGGUACCAUUUAAUCUAGCCUGAACCAACUCCUGAAUUGGGCGUAUUCCUGAAUUAGACCUUGCCUGCUGAGGCCCCUUCUCUCUCCUAGGAGAAUAUUCUCGACAUUGAUUUUCCUGUUCUGAGCUCCUCUGGGAGAAUGGUUAACCUUUCCUGAGGGGAGCAGCUGACAGUGCUUCUCCCAGGUGGCACAGAGGGUGGAGAUCCUGUCUGGGGACACCAGGGGAGGAGGCUGCAAGUGGCCCACCCACAGAGCAGAGGGAGUUGGGAAGGAGUAUGCAAAGUGCCCCCAUUUGUCUUGGGCUGGGAUUUGGGAAAAAUGAACCGAGGACCUGGGAUGCCAUCACUUCUGGCCUGUAGUGGAGUUGUGUCUUCUCUGGACUUGUGUGCCUGAGGACCAGGCCCUCUGGGAACUCUGUCUGGUGCUGUCAAGAGGCCCUGGAUAAAGAUGGCUUGUAUUAGAGCCCCUUCCCCUUAAGCCACAUGAACUUGCCGGGACAGUGUACUCUUCCCAGGCCCCCCAAGGGAAGAAGUUACUCAAGGGCUCCAUUUGGUCCCAACUUGGCAGAAACCCAAGAUUGCCGUAGCAGCAGUAGGGGUCUUGCUGAUGGGGGAGGGACAGGCUCCGUGCUCUAAAGCACUGUCUGUCAUGGCCUCUCUCCAUCUAGAUCAUGGAGGCUCUGGGUCAGGGGAAGAUGAGCAUUCUCCCUGGCCCCAGAAGGGCCUGGCUCUGGCCGAGCCUGUCUCAGUUCCUCAAGUUCCCAGCCAGAGGCUUUAGCAUGUAUUCUGAAGACAUCAGCAUUGUUCAGGCAGCAGAUAAUUUUGAAUACCUGCUAUGGGCCAGGUGUUUGGGAAACCACAGUUGAUAGGACAGGAGAGGCCCCUGUCAGUCUUUGGUCUGGUGGAGGAAGCAGAAAAUUGCACAGAUGAUUCUAACUACCCUUACAAGAAAACCAAAAAUGAAACCCACUACUAUCAAGUCAAUUCCAACUCAUAGCAAUCCUAUAGGACAGAGCAGAACUGCUCCACAGGGUUUCCAAGGAGCGGCUGGGUAGAUUUGAACUGCCAGCCUUAACCACUGUGCCAUCAGGGCUCUGAGGAACCAUUAACUCAGACAAUUGGUCAGGAUAGGCUUCUUGGAAGAAGUGACAUCUAACCAGAGUCUGGAAACAUGAGCAGAAGUCAUCUAGAAGGGAACCUGGGCUAGUGUUCCACUGUGGAGCCAAGAGGGAGGGUGGGGCAUGGAGAAGGUUGGGCUCAGAGGGGCGAGUCGGGGUCAGAUCAUGGAACAUCCUGGAAUGCAUGGUCCCAUUCACUACUGGGUAGUGUUUGGCUUUAUGUUAAAUGAUGUAAAAUCAUGGGGACACAACAGACAGAUAAUCCUGGGGUUGAAUUUCAACCUGCUUUUAUUUAAUAAUUUUUACAUCAUUAAAAUAUUUGCCACUUAUUGGGUUUUUUUUUUUUUAUUGGGUGUCUGCAGGCCAGGUCUCCAUGUUAGGAUAUCCUUUUGGAUUCUCACACAUAGUGGCGCAGGGUUCAAACCCAGGACCACAAGCCCUCAUGCCCCCACCUCCCCUAUACCAUGCCUUCAGCAGCUUUGAGGUCUCAACCUGUACACGUCUCUGAAAAAGAAACCGGAGAUGCUGCAGCCGGCUUGAGGCAGUCCCAGGGCCUGGCAUUUUGAUGUCCUGGAUGCAGCCCAGGGGCUGGUAAAGUUGCAAAACCUGUUUUCAGCAGUUAGCUUGAGAUCUGUCGGCUGAUAAACAGAUUUUCUGUUUUGCAGUCAAGUGCUUGUAAAGGAGAAGAGGCCCUUGGACCUUGGGCAGGCAGGCCAUGCCUCCUUGGUAGUGUGUAACCAUUAGCAGAUCAACUGUGCUAAGACAGCGAAGGACAGUUUAGAGUUUAAAAUGGGUCAGCAAACUAUAGUCCAAGGGCCACAUCUGGCCCCUGCCUGUUUUUGUAAAUAAAGUUUUAUUGGAACACAGCUGCUCCCGUUUAUUUACACUUUGUCUAUGGCUGCUUUCAUCCUGUAAGGGCAGAGUUGAGUAGUUGGGAUAAAGACCAAAUGGCCUGCAAAGCCUCAAAUGUUUAUUGAGGCAGAAAAAGUUGCCUGCAGAGCUUGGAACUUGUUUGCCAACUCGUGAGGUAAAAUAUUGGGGCUGAGCUAUAUGAAGGGAAAUGGAAAUGAUUUGGAAAAAUCUCCAUGGUAUUUCAUUAAGAGGUGAAAGCAAGAUGUAGCUCAGUACAUAUUUCCAUUUUUAGAAACAGCAAAGAAGAAAUAUAUGUGUAAGUAUACAUACAUACAUCUUAUAUACAUAUACGCACUUGUGUAUGGGUAUGUAUUUCUGCAUGCAAUGGAUAGCUCUGGAAAGAUACAUAAGAAAGUGGUAACUGUGGUUGCCUGGAGAAUGGGAGACUUGCUUCUUAGACAGUAUACCUCUACCUGCCUUUUGAUUUUGCACCACUUUCUGUGUUACCCAUUCAAACAAAAUUAGUUCAAAAAGUAUAUUUGAGGCUGAAGAGUUGAGAUAAGGAAGCUGGUGGAAGGCAUGUCUUUUGCUUCAUUUCCUUUAACUUUUUAAGAGAGUUGGAGCUACCACCUUCUUUACAUGGAACCUUUUUAAAUUUGAACGGUAUUCUCAUAACAGCCUCCUUCUGGAAGGAAAGUCCUGUGAGAGAAAUUCAGAAUUGCAGUUGUAUUUAAAUGGAAAUAAAUAUUGAGUUGAACCAUAAAGGCAGAAAGAUUUGGGGCACAGCAGAAAAUGGCUUUUGAUCUAAGUAGCGUGUGAUCCGUGCUUCUAAGCAAGGUGCCCUCCUGGUGCGGGAGCGAGUGUUUUCAUCCUCCUGGUCACCCUUGCUUUCCCUGGAUGAGACAUUGGCCAGAUAAUGAAACAAUGGCACACGCUGCUGGGAACAUACACAGGCGAUGCAAUCUCUAACCCCAGACCUUCUCCAAUAGACCAUGCUCACCCCCGGUGUCCUCCAAGGACAGCUUAAGAUUGUUUCUCCACAGUGUUCCUGGCCUGCUACCCUCCAUGGGCCGUGGACAAGAACAUGGGCUUUGGGGACAAAUUCUGUGAUCCUAAACCAGCCCUGCCUUGCACCAGCUGGGGACAGGUCAUUCAACUUUUCCAAGCCUCUGUCUUAUCUGAAAUGUGGAGACCAUCAUACCCCACCUCACAGAGCUGCUGUGAGGAUUAAAUUAGGGGACCUUCUGGCAGGCUGCACCCAGUGCACAGUAACUGCCCAAUAACGGGGCUUUUGUUGGUAUUCCUGAGGUCUUCACCCCAGUCUUUCUCUAAAGGAGGCUGUUUCUGUAAAGCGCCUGAGAGGGAAUAUUGUCAGAACAUUGUCAGCUUUGCAAGCCAUUCAGUCUCUGUUGCAACUAUUCUGCUGUGUGGUGUGAAAGCAGUCAUAGAUAAUAAGUAAAAGAAUAGGCAUGGCUGUGUUCCAAUAAAACUUUAUUAACAACAACAGGCAGUAUUCCCAGUGGUUUGCCAUCUGUUGCUCCCAGUUGAUCUUGCCUUUUUCUCUAGCUGCAGCAUUGUAAGCUGGGGAUGAGAAUUUUUUUUUUUUUUAAUUAAUUUUCUGUAGAAAGAGGAAGCACCCAGAUAGGCAGGAGUGUGAAGUGGUUAGGGGUGCUAGCCUGGGAACCAGACUGCCAGCCGCCCAACUCUAGCUCCCUCACUUAUCUGCCCUUACCCUCAGCCAGUUAACCUCUGUGUGUGUCAGUUUCCUCGUCUGAAAAAGAAGGUAAUGAUAGUCCCUUCUUCACUGCCUUUUGAGGUUUAAUGAGUUAAUACAUGUAAAGUAGCAAGGCCGUGUCUGGAAUAAAGCAAAGGUGAUGUAAAAUUGUCUUGGACCACCCAGUCACAAGCCACUGUGUCUUAGGACCCUUGUUUGAGUACUGCUGGUCAAGGAGCCGUUCGUUCGUCCAUCCACCAUUUACUAACCCCGUGCUGUAUGGGGGCACCAGGCCCACAGGGGCCCACAGGGCAGCCCACGUCACUGCCCUCAGGGAGCUUGAAGUCUCGUGGGAGAGACAGGACAAACAACUGCAAUGUGUGCCAGGAAGGACGUUUACAAGGAAGGGGCUCAGAUUGUCAGCGAGGGCCCCUUCCUCUGUUGAACCUGACUGGAUUCAUGCUGCCCAAUAAGACUACUGAGGCAGCUUGGAGUCCCACAAGCAAAUUUAUUUUGCCAGCAGCUAGCAAAAGGAGACAGUAAGGGCUAGAACCUUCAGAGAAACUGUCUCAUGGAUUUGCCUACGAGCCAAGUAUUUAAGGGUUUUAACAACCUGGGGAGGAGGGGUUUUGAUGUUUAUUCAUGAGGCUGGGGGAGAAGGGCAGAGAUUUCUGAGAAGGGGUUGGGUUAUGCAAAUCCAGGUACUCACGCAGGAUUUUUUCAAGAUGGAAGUCCUUGGGUUCGCCUUGACAUGACUUAGGGAAUGUGAUGCUGGCACACUGGGUCCCCCUUGUCACAUGGCCUCCUUCGGCUGGCACAGGAAGGACAAACAGUGGUUGCUUGUACUUCUUUUUGCAUACGCUCUGCUCCUGUGGAGUCCUGCAAGACCUACAUUAACAGGUUAAUUGCAACAUUUCAGUUCAUACCACCCCUCAGCUGCACCUCUGUGUGUUCUGUUCUCCAGGGGGUGGGCCAGGUUGUUUAUUCCACUCCCCGUCCUGCUUGUCUUUUUCCCCCACCUAUGUGUUUAGUUUAUGUGUAAGGGGGUGGGGGGAGCCCAACCAGCCUUGCUGUAACCUAGUCCUGUCUCAAGAUCAAGGGCUGAUUGGGGCUGAUCGCACCAGUGAGGUGACUUCUGAAUCCAAGAUGAGCAGGAUUUAGCUAUGUACAGAGUCUUCCUGGUGGGGGAGCAGCAGGUGUGAGGUCUAACCUGCAGCGGGCAGGGCAUGGCAGGUAAGGGCCUGUGAGGAGGUGGCUGCAGUGGGUGGUGAGGGCAGCUGUGCCCAUCAUGCAGGGCUUUGUCAGCAGGUCAUAAAAAGUGUGGGUUUGAUUCCAACUGCAGUGCUGUCUGAAAGCUUGUAAGCAGGAGAGUGUGAUACGAUCACCUAUGAGUUUUUAUAAACCAAACCAGUUGCCGUCAAGUUGAUUCCGACUCACGGCGACUCCAUGUGUAUCAGAGUAGAAACUGCACUCCACAGGGUUUUCAGUGGCUGAUUUUUUGGAAGUAGAUCACCAGGCCUUUGCUCUGCGUCACCUCUGGGUAGUUUCCAACCUCCAGCCUUUCAGUUAGCAGCCAAGCGCAUUAACCGUUUGCACCUGCCAAAGCAGUUCUAGUGGCUGAGAAAACAGAUCAGACGCACUCCAGCCUAUUGAACCUGGUUCCAAACAGCCCAGGCUAGCUCAAGAUGGUUCAAACCAGGCAACACUGAUACGAACUUGGGUUCAUGGCACUCAAGAAAUGAACCCAGUGAAACUGCUCCGUGGGGGUCUUCCAUGGGGAGUUCUGUUCUUUGUGUUUUUUAUUACACAAGAAAUGCAUGAGUAAGUUCUGUUUGAAAAAUUAUGACAGUCUGGGUACACAGAACACCAGCAUCCCUCCCUGCCAGCCGUCUAGUCUCUACGGUUAGAUGCCUGUUGAUGUACACAUACAACGCUUUGUUUGGGCUUUAGUUUUUAAUGAAAGUGGAAUCAUGUGCUGUGUCUUGUUCUGUAGCCUGUUUUUUGUACUUACUCACGGCUUGAAGGUGCUUCUGUGUAAGGAUAUAAUAGGAUUGCUUGUAUACCACCACAUAUUAAUGAGUCUCCUGUGUCUGGGCAUUUAGGUCGUACCCAAGCUUCCAACCAGGCAGAGUGCAAUGUCCUCGGACAUACAUCUCUGUCUGCACGCUCAAUGCAUGCUCAAGUAUUUCUGUAGGAUGGAUGCCUCGAAGCAGAGUUCCUGAGUCAGAGUUCGUGUUUGUAUAUGCGCAUCUUAGUCUCCUAGGGCUGCUGUAACAGAAAUACCACGAAUGGGUGGUUUUAAAGAACAGAAAUUUGUUUUUUCACAGUUCAGGAGGCUAGAUGUCCUGAGAAUUCAGUGUCUGACUCUAGGGAGAGGUCUUUCUUUGUCCAUUUCAGCUUCUUGUAGCUGGCAGAGGAGCCUUGGUGGCACAGUGGUUAAGCGCUCAGCUGCUAACAGAGAGAAGGGUCGGUGGUUCAAACCCACCAUCUACUCUGCAGGAGAAAGAUGAGGCAGUCUACUUCCGCAAAGACUACAACCUUGGAAACCCUACGGGGCAGUUCUACUCUGUCCUACAGGGUUGCUAUGAGUUGGAAUCAACUCAAAAGCAAUGAAUUUGGAUUUGUUGGGGUUUUUUUUUUUUCUUUCUUUUUUUGGUUAGUAGCCAGCAAUCCAUGGAGUUUCUGAGCUUGUAGAUUUAUCAGCCUUCAUAGUCUUCCAGUAGUAUUUGUCUUCCUCGUUUGCUCACUUCUCUUUUUACAUCUCAAAAAUAAUAGGUUUAGGACACACCUUACACUGACGUGGCCUCGUUACCAUAGCACAGAAAACCCUAUUUCCAAAUAGAAUUACAUUCACAGGUAUAGGGGAUGAGGAUGCCAACAUGUAUUUUGGGAGACACAAUUCAAUCCAUAUUUUUUUUAUACACACAUGUAUACACACACCAAACCAAAUCCAUUGCCUUCAAGUCGAUGCCAACUCAUAGCGAUCCUACACUUUAAUUUUCCUAAAAGAUUUUACCAGUUUGUACCUCUGCCAACAAUAUGUGAGCAUCGUUUCUCAGCAUUCCCCCCAAAGCUUGAUAACAGCCAUCUUUUAAUUUUUCCAGUUCACAUUCCUUCAAGUUUCGUUUUCCUGGUGACUGAUGAGGGCGCACAUUUUGGAUGGGCUGUAUCCCCUCUAGAGCGCUCUCAUUCAUUCAUUCCACAAAUCUGUACUGACCACCUGCUCUGUGUCCCACACUCUGCUGGGUGCUAGGGUUACAGCGUGAGCGAGAACAACAUAGGCAUAAGAUGGACAGCGUGUUAGAUCAUGCGAAGGGGAAAGCAGGAGCAGGUAGGGGAGGCAGGAAGUAAAAGGGAGCAAGGAAAGCCUCUGUGAAAAUGCACCAGGUGAUGGAGACCUGGGCAGGAGGGAGAGCACCCUGCAGUGCCUUUCUUGGUUGGGGGUGAAGAGAACAGUAACUGCAAGGGCUCCAGGGCCUGUGAGGAGCAGCAAGGCUGGAGCACAGUGAGCGGGGGAAACAGGUCGGAAUGGUAAGAGGGCCUGUAGAUUAUCAUAGGGGCUUUGCUGGGAGAAAGGUGGAGAGAUGGGAGGGCUUGGAACAAAGAGGACACACUCUAUUUUCUGUUGGCCGCUCCAGCUGCUGCACUGACGUUAGACAGUAGGCGGUGAGGUGGAUAUGGAAGAGCAGGUGGGAGGCUCUGGGAGUAAUUCAGGAGAGAUGAUGGUGGCUUGGACCAAAUCGUCACCUCCCUGAGAGCAGGGACUCUGUCUCCUUCCUCCACAUGGGUUUCCAUGAUUUCACCUUCCCCAUGUGUGACGCAGAAACAGCUCUGGCAGUUCCAGAUCUGAGGGAGGGGACGCAGUUAGAACCUAGGGACAGAGUUCUCAGAGGAAGUGUGAGCCAUGCUAGAAGUGGCCAAAACUAAGCUCAGAAGCAGGGGAACAGAACAGACAUUGACCCCCCCACCCGAUGCUGGGCCUUGUCCUAGCAUUGUCCUUGUCACAAAACCUGCCAGGCACACCCUGUGGUCCCCUUUACAGGUGAGGACUCUGAGUCCCAGGGAGUAUCAGAGACUUCCCCAAAGGACCCCACUGGUAAGCGACAGAGCCAGGAGUUGUCCAAGACUUUCUGCCUCAGAGCCCCUGCCCUUUGUACAGGGAGGGCAUGAGGGUGCCAUCUACUGGGAGCCCCAUCUCUGUCCAUUUUCUACCCAGCUCAUUCUUAUCAGGGUCUCUUCAGCCCCACAAAGGAUCGUAGGUACUCAUCCAUGCUGAAAAAGUGUUGUUAUUUGCAGCCAAGUUGGCAUGAUCGCUGGUAUGUUUGAGUCCAUUGGUGCAGCUGUUGUGGUGAGUCAUCUCAUUAAGGAUGUCCCCGGUUUUCAUUGCCCCUCCGCUUAACCAAAUAUGAUGUCCUUUUCUAGCACAUGGUCUUUGCUGAUGACGUGUCCAAAGUAAGCAAGACAAAGUCUUGCCAUCCUCGCUUUUGGGAGCAUUUUGGUUGUAUUUCUUCGAAGACUGGCUUGUUUGUUCUUUUGGCUGUCCAUGGUAUAUGGACAGAAAAAGUAGGAAUUUAAAAAUAUGCCUUUUUGCAGCCAAGUUUUUGAGAUUGGGAUACAAUUAAUAUGCCCUUUUUAGCAUCCAGUUCCAGGGGUUUUGAUAAAUGCACAGAGUUGUGUAACCACUACCACAACCAAGAUAAAGAACAUUCCAUGACCCCUUGGUAGCCCAGAUUGUUCUCUGCCCAUAGGUAUUGUUGCCCCUUUUUCUAGGAUAUCACAUGAAUGGAGUCAGAUGGGUGUAGCCUUUGAGUCGGGCUUCUUUCACGUAGCACACUGCCUUCAAGAUGCAUCCAUGUUGCCAAGAACAUACAUUUUGAAAAAGAGAACAUUGCUGUGACCCAGCGUUUUGAGGUGGUAAGCGAACUGGUGGCAAUACAUAAGAAAAGUUUUUUUAAUUUUUAAAAAUACUUUAAAGCCAAAUUUGAGGAUAUUUUGGCAUAGGACAAGGCUAACCUAAAAAUAAAGGUAUUUACAGAAAAAUCUUAAAUACUAUAUAGGAGAUACACAGAUAUGGGGGAAACCCAGAGGGGCUCAAGGAAGAGAAAGACAGAGGCUGCGAAACAUCACUGCAACGUUCUAAUCACAGCCCAAGCUGGGUGACCUUGGACCUCUGUGAAGGUCACUUCCUGUGAUGGAGUGCUGUGAUUCUGAGACUCACACUCUGAAAGUGGCCUCCCCCUUGACCCCUGAUGCUGAGCACCAGAGACGCUUCGAGGUCAUGUGGACCAUUGGUUCUGAAAGUCCAGUUUGGUCUGGAGCCAACCAACCCAGAGAGAGUGUUCCCCAUGUGAGGGACAGGAUGGCAAUGCAGGAAGAACUCAGAAACCUAAAGAACCAUCUUUAUUCUGCAACCGUGUCCUUGACUGUAACUAUGACAAGGUCAGUCUCAGUGACAGUGGUUGGACCACGUGCUAUGUCCUGCUUUGGCAGAUGUCACAGCCUGUGAUGGUUGGUAGUGCUGCUGGCCUGUGGAGCAGGCCUAGUGAUGGGGAGCUGCCCUGAGUCUGACAGAUGGUGAGUGGUGUUGUCACCGAGAAGGCAAGUUGUCUCUCAGAGCAGGUUGAGAGGGGCUGCGCCCUGGGGAAGGGUGUUAGUGGAACAUGUGGGCUACUUUCGUAGGUGUCACCUCACAGACACUAGAGCGUGUUCUGUACCACUGCACGGGCUCCUCAUCCACACAUGGCCCUGCAGACGUGCAGCCCUAGGCACCACGGCCUGUCUUUCUCCCCUGGGAACCUUGGCCCUUCUGCCUGCCUUGGGUGCCUUCCUCCCCUCUGUAUUUGACUGAGCCUUAGUCACCUGUCAGGAUAGCCUGGACACCUCCUCCAGGCAGCCCUCUGGAACCCUCUUCCCCUCCUCUCGGGGCUGGGCAACGACCUCUGGGCCCAGCUGGCUCCAGUGCUGUGUAUGUGAUGGCUUAGCCACUCAUCCCCCCCAUACAGUCCUGGGCUGAGCAAUUUGAAGGUCCUUAGUCUUUAUUCCCCAGAGCCUGGCACAGGGCCUGCCCCCAGCUAAGGGGAAACAUUAUCAUCUUGGACAUUUAUACAAGGAUCAAGGUUUUUCCCUCCUUUGUUAGUGGACAUGUCUUAAGCAAAGCACCUGUUUGCUUACUGACUUUUCUGUCUUCAAGCUGUUUGAAAACAGCCCUGCUGAUCACCCACCCCUCUCCUGUCUCUAUAGUCUUCUAGGGCCCCUGGGUGGCACAAAUAGUUAACACUCUCAGGUACUAACUGAAAGGUGGGAGUUCACCCAGAGGAACCUCAGAAGAAAGAAAGGCCUGGUGAUCUGCUUCCAAAAAAUCAGCCAUUGAAAACCCCAUGGAGCACGUUUUUAUUCAGACACACAUGGGGUGCCAUGAGUUGGAGGCUACUCCCCAGCAACUAUUAGGAUAAGACUCGAGACCACCUCUGAUGGAUCAAGGUCAGGUGGCCCAGGAUCUGCAAAUCCAAGAUGCUGACCUUACUCCAGGAGACUAAGAUGGUCUCUGUAGGCAAGUUUCCUUCUGCCAGUGCCCAGCCCCACUUCCCCAGGACAGGCAGGUUUAGGGAUCUGAGGGGUUGUGGUAGGGAGAGGAGGUUUGGAAGUUAGUGUGUUUUUGUAGUUUGUAAAAUUGUUAUAAAAGCCUCCAACUAGUUCCCAGGGAAGACCUUUAACAACAUGGACUGACACAGCAGCUGCAACAAUGGGCUCAAGCAUAGCAACGAUUGUGAGGAUGGCGCAGGACCAGGCAGUGUUUCCUUCCGUUGUACGUGGGGUCACUGUGAGUCAGAACCAACUCAAUGGCACCUAACAACAGUUCCCGUGGUAUUCAAAUGCCUCUACCAGUAAAAGUUCCUAAGGUCUUGCCUUCCAGACAUUCUGUGCGUCUCACAUUCUUAUUGCUGUUGUCUCAGGACCUCACAUUCUUAUUGCUGUUGUCUCAGGACCUCGAAAGAGCUCAGUCUAUGCCUGAUCCUAACAGACCCAGUACACAGGUGUUGAAUAAUGUGAGAAUGGUUGGCAGGACUGGUACUAGCCCCAUUUCACAGAUCACUGAGGCUAGGGUAGGCUAUAUAUCUUCCUCCAAGGUCCUACAGUAUCUGACUGAAGGACCCCACGUUUUCUGACUCAGAAUGUGAAAGUUUCUUAGCAUGCAUGCCUUUGGAGCUCCAUUCGUAUGCGGGACAGCUUUCUGCCAACCAGACCCCCCUCCCUUCCUUGCCUGCAAGAUUAGGGCAGACAUAGUAUCUAACUAACACGGAGCCAGCAUUUAGGACUGUGAUGUAAUCUGACCUUGCUCAGUGUCCUUCUCUUCCCUAGGCCCAGAGCCACCGGACCUCUUUGUUACAUACAUGCCAGAGACCAGACAGAGCUUGGCCUGAUUGCUGUCAAUCAAGCUGGCUAAGAAAUGGUGCUGUCAUUCCUACAGUCUCGCCGGCACACGAGGCAGGGAGUCAGUGCUAACGAGGGCUCUGAGGGAUGAGGAUUCAUCUGAGGGCACAGACACGCCAUGGGCUCAGGGUGCCUGGGUUAAAAACCGAUGGCCCUUACUUAAGGAUGUCACUGUAAACAGAGGCCCCCUGGAAGCUGCCUGCGCGCAGCAGCGGGGCUCUGCUGACGGACGUGAGUCUGGGCGGGAAUGUGGUGCUGCCCACGUGUCCCUCCUACAGGGAUGGACCGCAGGCAGACAUAUGUGUCUCGUUCCCUUUAGGGGUAGGCCCUUCCUCUUUCUCCAUGUACCUCCAAACCCCAUCUGUUCCCAUAUUUACAGACUCACAAUCCAGUCCACUCCUGCCUUCCAAUACAGCUAUUGUUGUUGUUAGCUUCCUUUGACUCAUGGCCAGCCCUUGCGUGAGGGAACGAAACCCCGACUGGUACUGCACUACCCCCACGAUUGGUUGCAGACAGAACCAUGGUAAUCCAUAGAGUUUUCAUUGGCUGAUUUUCAGAAAUCAGCCUUUCUUCCUAGGCCAUCUUAGCCUGGAAUCUCUGCUGAAACCUGGUCACAUCAUAGCAACAAGCGUGCAUCCACUGACAGACGUGCACAUGAGGUACACUGACCAGGAACUAAACCCAGGUCUUCUGUAAGGAAGGCAAGAACUCUACCAUUGCACCACCACUGCCCUAGUACUACUGUUAAACUAAGUCCAUUGCCACUGAGCGGAUUCCCACUCGUGGCGGCGCCAUGUGUUAUGGACUGGGACUGCUCCAUAGGUUUUCUUGGCCGCCAUCUUCAGAGGCAGGUCAUCAGACCCUUCUGCAGCACUGCUGGGUGAGUUCGAACCACCAACCUUUAGGUGAGUAGCUCUGUUUGCACCUCCCAGGGACCUUGAAACUACUGUUAGACCAUACAAAAUUGGUACCAUCAUACUGUUAGAUGGAGUUCAACUCUAUAUAUGCCUAGGACCCCCACUCCGUUCGCUCCAGCUCAGCUCUGUCAGUGGAACCCAGACCUUUUCAUCCAGCUGUCUUUCUAUCCACCCAUCCAUCAGGAGGCAAAGGAGCUGGGCCAGGUCUGCCAGCUCCAAGCCUACGCCUGUCGCCACUGCUCCAUUCUGCCUUCACACACGCUAUUCUUUCAUCCUAGAAGGCUCUUCUCACACCAAGCCAUCCAGCUCAUUCUUCAUUGCUCCCUUCCUCCAGGAAGCUCCUCUGCCCACCUGACGUUCACCCCCAUUGAAGCAUCCACCAGGCUCCAUUGUAGUGAUCUGCUGAGGUCUGCCUUGCCCUCCCCAAUGAGACUGAGCUCUUCAAACUCCUACUAGGCUGUGUGCCCCCUGCUGCCUAGCAUGAUAUUUGGGGACAAAGCUCACAUUUUUUGAGUAGUUACUCCUGGCCAGACAUUGUCCUAGUACUGAUCCAGGUAAUGCCUACCACAACCCUGCCUUUAUUAUGUCCCAGAAACCAAGGCACAAAGAGGACGAAUAACUUGCCUAAGGAAACACAGCUAGGUAGUAGCUUUAUAUAGAGUUCACAAAUAUUUACAACAGCAGUGGGAGGUACACAGGAUCCUUGUCCCACCUGACAGAUGAGUAAGCCAAGGCUCAAACAGGAAGGUGCACGGCCCAUGGGUGUCAAGACUGAGCGUAAGCAGCCUGGCUCAGAGCCCUCCCCCACCCCGACACUGGGCUGCCUGGUUACACAGUAAACUAAAAUCAAACCAAUUUUUCGCAGAGUCAGCCUUAACUCAUGGUGACCCCACAUGUUUCAGAGUAGAAUUGUGCUCCAUAGGGUUUUUAAUGACUGAUUUUGGGUUUUUUGUUUUUUUUUUUGUACUUUAGAUGAAGGUUUACAAAACUAGCUUCUCAUUAAACAAUUAGUACACAUAUUGUUUUGUGACAUUAGCUACCAACCCCAUGACGUGUCAGCACUCCCCUUCUCGACCUUGGGUUCCCUACUACCACCUUUCCUGUCCCCUCCUGCCUUCUUGUCCUUGCCCCAGGGCUGGUGCGCUCCUUUAGUCUCAUUUUGUUUUUUGGGCCUGUCUAAUCUUUGGCUGAAGGGUAAACCUCAGGAGUGACUUCAUUACUGAGGUAAAAGGGUGUCCAGGGGCCAUACUUUCAGGGUUUCUCUAGUCUGUCAAGCCAGUAAGUCUGGUCUUUAUUUAUGAGUUAGAAUUUUGUUCUACAUUCUUCUCCAGCUCUGUCGGGGACCCUCUAUUGUGAUCCCUGUCAGAGCAGUCAGUGGUGGUAGCCAGGCACCAUCUAGUUGUACUGAACUCAGUCUGUGAAGGCUGUGGCAGUUGUGGUCCAUUUGUCGUUUGGACUGAUCUUUCCCUUGUGUCUUCGGUCUUUAAUCUCCCUUGCUCCUGAAGGGGCGAGACCAGUGGAGUAUCUUAGAUGGCUGUUCACAAGACCCAGACACUACUCACCAAGGUAGAAUAUAGACCAUUUUCUUUAUAAAGUGUUAUGCCAAUUGAGCUAGAUGUUCCCCAAGACCAUGGUCCCCACAGCGAUGGCUGAUUUUUCAGUGGUCCAUCACCAGGCUUUCUUCUGAGGCCCCUCUGGUUGGACUCAAACCUUCAACCUUUUGGUUAGCAGUGAGCACAUUAACCGUUUGUACCACAGGGGCUCCUGCCCUGUACAGUAGGUGCCAUUUGUUGACAACACAAUGCAGUGGCCAGCAUCCUGGCCCACGCUCCUCCUCACUCUCCCUCACACAAGGCUGUGGCCUUUACCAGGCCCUCCCAAGAGCCAGUCACCUCCGUGGCCCUUAGCAGACUGUAGUCAUUAGGGGGCCUCAUCCCGGCCUUUCAAGUCACUCCUAGUGAUGGUGGUAGCUGCAGGUUUGGGGGCGGCUGGUUGGGCCCUGGGUCCUGAACCAUGUAAGUGGAGAGGUUGUGAGGACAUUGGUUUUUCUAAAUAACAUUUCCAUCCAAGCCUGCCUGUACAGCUGGAGUCACCAGUCCCCCUUAGGGUACAAGCAGAGAUCUCUCUGAGGGUGUCAGGGGUAGCAGGCUCUUUGGUAGCACAGGCCUUUGGAAAGAAGAGGGGGACUUGCUUGCUUUGGGGCAGCAGCCAGGUGUCAGCUGCAAGGAGGAACGCAUGGCAAAGGGGGUCGCAUUCUGUAGAAAUCAUUCAGAGCAGCUCCUGCUCUGCUGAAGGUCAGUCGCUCCAUCUUCCUCCACACACAGCAGGCAAAACAAGGCCUGACUUCCAAGGGGAAGGUAAUCAUUAAGAGGGAUUUUUUUCAUUUUAUUAUCUCAUCAGGAUGUCAUCCUAAACUUGAACUGAGGGCAUCACCCUGAGCACAAUAGCUGAGUCUCCGAAAAGGUGUGCACAGCCUGAUCGUUGGACACGAAGCUGCUCUUGACGCACAUCAAGGGAUUCAGUUAUUUCAAGGAUCCCUGCUGUGGAACAGUGACCAUCUCUUUCUUUCCCCAGCACCCCUCCCCCGUUGGCUCCAUCCAUAAUGUCUAGGCAGCUGACUCAGUUUACUGGCCAGCACGUUAUUUAUCUGCCUCUGGAAAUGAACUCUAUGGGGCAGUUCUACCCUGUCCUCUAUCACUAUGAUUUGGAAUUAAUUGACUUGACAGCAAUGGUUUGGUUUGGAAAUGAAGUAUAUGUUUGACUUCGACCUACCCACUUGAGACUUAUAUCCCGCUCAGCUCUUUUUUUUUUUUUUUUGGUAGAACGUAUACUUUUAAAAUGUACAAUUUAGUGACAUGAAUUACAUUCACCAUGUUGUGCAAACAUCUGCACUAUUUCCAAACUAUCCCAUGAUCCUUAAGUAGUAACUCUUUAUUCCGCUCUCUCCCUCGGUAACCACUGAUAAACUUUGGUCUCUAUACACUUGCCUAUUCUAGACUUUCCAUCUAAGCGGGAUCAUACAACAGUCGUCCUUUUGUGUCUGACUGAUUUCACUCAUCGUAACGUUUUCAGUGUUCUUUGAUGUCAUAUCGUGUGUGAGGAUUUCUUUUUGAACAUAAAUCAUCUCGUUUUGUAAGAUCGGACUUCAGGACAACCGUGGUAGUAAGAGGGUCUUUGCAGAUGUGAUUAAGUUAUGGAUCUUGAGAUGGGGAGAUGAUCCUGGAUUAUCUUGGGCCCAAUGUCAUCACAAGGGUCCUUACUUAUAAGAAGUCAGAAGGGUUCAAGUCAGAGAGGGAUUGAAAAAUGCUAUUUUGCUGGCUUUGUAGAUAGAACAAGGGGCCAUGAGCCAAGGAAGACAAGCAGCUUCUAGAAUCUGAAAAAGGCAAGGGAAUGGAGCCUUCAGCCCUGCUAACACCUUGACUUUAGCCCUUUAAACCUGUUUCAAACUCUGACCUCCAGACCUGUAGGAUAAUAAAAAAAACUAAGACAAAGCCACCCACUCUGAGUUCACAACCACAGGCUCUGUGAGUGCCCCGGGGCCUGGAGGCCCCGACUCAGCCCCCUCCAGCCCACUCUCCACAUGACGGGCAAGCAGGGGUCACUUAACAGUGCAGCUGAGUCACAGGGCAUCCUUGUGCUCUCAGGGUCUACCAUGCAGGCCCUGCCCUGUUCUCAGGUGAGCCCAGGGCCUCCUGACCCAGACCUCACCCAUGCUGUUCCCUGGCCACCUCCUGCCAGCCCUCAGCAUCAGCCUGGCGCUUGCUUCUCGGGACGCACCAGCUGCAUUUGUAACCUCAGUCUUUGUAGAGCACAUGCGCGGACCAAGGGCGGGUUUCUCUUUCGUUCACUGAUGUAUCCCCAAGGCCCAGAACCGUGCUUGGCCCUUGAGAAACACUUAUGAAGUGAAUGAAUGAAAGAACAUUUUCUCAUUCUUUCUGUGCACAGUGGGCUAUGCUCUACCUGUUUUGUUAUAACCUGUGUUCUCAUAGUGUUUCUAGAACGCUUUUCCAGGUCAGUAAUGUGCACCUGCCUCCCUGUCUCCAGUGGCCGUACCAUCCUGUCAUGUAAAGUUUCCUAACCAGUAUCAGUAGCCCCCUCUUCUUGGACUAUUUUGGUUGUUCCCUACUUUGGGCUAUUUUAUACAAUGCUGUGAUGAACAUCCUUAUAAUUAGACUCUGGCAAGCCCCCUAAUUAUUCUCUUAGGAGAAAUUCCACAAGAAAUCCCCAUCCUGUGGUUUAUGACCAUAACUGUAAUGUUCUCAAAGCAUUUUCUCUUCUUUGAACUGUGCCUUGUCUGGAGGAUCAUUGCAAGGUGGAGAAGCAGCCAUGGCUAGAACGGUCUUCCUGUCCCACGAAAAUAGUGUCCAGAACUGGUGGUCCCAUGAGCUGGAUUGGACACACAGCUGUGUGGGUGGGCCUUUACAGUGCUUUUAAAAGAUGGAAAUUUUACAUAGAAAGAUGGAUUUUCCGUUUCUCCAAGUAGCACUCACCAAUCAUCACUGAGUUGCAGCUGUCCCCUAUAACCGUGACCAUUCUGGUCUCAC